AUACUUACAGAGCAGGAAAAGCACCUUGACUUACGAUAGGUGGUUUUUCUUAGAGCGAGGUUUAAUUCAUUGCACUUUGGACAUGCUGAUCCUUGCCGUUUCCCCGAAUGCGGGAAACUUCGUUCGCAUAUACUGAUGGUAGUGGGGGACUGCGUUCGCGUUUUUCCCCU